rnacentral:rRNA from 1 species
AUUGAACGCUGGCGGCAUGCUUUACACAUGCAGGUCGAACGGUAACAGGCCGCAAGGUGCUGACGAGUGGCGAACGGGUGAGUAAUGCAUCGGAACGUGCCCAGUCGUGGGGGAUAACGCAGCGAAAGCUGCGCUAAUACCGCAUACGAUCUAUGGAUGAAAGCGGGGGACCGUAAGGCCUCGCGCGAUUGGAGCGGCCGAUGUCAGAUUAGGUAGUUGGUGGGGUAAAGGCCUACCAAGCCAACGAUCUGUAGCUGGUCUGAGAGGACGACCAGCCACACUGGGACUGAGACACGGCCCAGACUCCUACGGGAGGCAGCAGUGGGGAAUUUUGGACAAUGGGCGCAAGCCUGAUCCAGCAAUGCCGCGUGCAGGAAGAAGGCCUUCGGGUUGUAAACUGCUUUUGUACGGAACGAAAAGGCCCUGGUUAAUACCUGGGGCUCAUGACGGUACCGUAAGAAUAAGCACCGGCUAACUACGUGCCAGCCGCCGCCGUAAUAC